rnacentral:rRNA from 1 species
UACGAAGGGGGCUAGCGUUGCUCGGAAUCACUGGGCGUAAAGGGUGCGUAGGCGGGUCUUUUAAGUCAGGGGUGAAAUCCUGGAGCUCAACUCCAGAACUGCCUUUGAUACUGAAGAUCUUGAGUUCGGGAGAGGUGAGUGGAACUGCGAGUGUAGAGGUGAAAUUCGUAGAUAUUCGCAAGAACACCAGUGGCGAAGGCGGCUCACUGGCCCGAUACUGACGCUGGGGCACGAAAGCGUGGGGAGCAAACAGG